GAUUUACUGGGCGUAAAGGGCGCGUAGGCGGCCACCGCAAGUCGAUUGUGAAAUCUCCGGGCUUAACCCGGAAAGGUCAACCGAUACUGCGGGGCUAGAGUGCAGAAGGGGCAACUGGAAUUCUCGGUGUAGCGGUGAAAUGCGUAGAUAUCGAGAGGAACACCUGCGGCGAAGGCGGGUUGCUGGGCUGACACUGACGCUGAGGCGCGAAAGCUAGGGGAGCGAACGGGAUUAGAUACCCCGGUAGUCCUAGCCUUAAACGAUGGAUGCUUGGUGUCUGGGGUUUUAUAGUCCCCGGGUGCCGUCGCUAACGCUUUAAGCAUCCCGCCUGGGGAGUACGGUCGCAAGACUGAAACUCAAAGGAAUUGACGGGGACCCGCACAAGCGGUGGAGCAUGUGGUUUAAUUCGACGCAACGCGAAGAACCUUACCUGGGCUAGAAUGCCCGUGACAGCCCCAGAGAUGGGGUCUCCUGGGUAAAACCAGGCACGGUGCAAGGUGCUGCAUGGCU
rnacentral:rRNA from 1 species